GCCCUCAUAGCUCAGUCGGUAGAGCACAGUCUUGGUAAGACUGGGGUCAUGGGUUCAAAUCCCAUUGAGGGCU
rnacentral:tRNA from 1 species